GUGAGGAAUAUUGGUCAAUGGGCGGGAGCCUGAACCAGCCAAGUCGCGUGAAGGAAGAAGGAUCUAUGGUUUGUAAACUUCUUUUGCAGGGGAAUAAAGUGCAGGACGUGUCCUGUUUUGUAUGUACCCUGAGAAUAAGGAUCGGCUAACUCCGUGCCAGCAGCCGCGGUAAUACGGAGGAUCCGAGCGUUAUCCGGAUUUAUUGGGUUUAAAGGGUGCGUAGGUGGUUUGAUAAGUCAGCGGUGAAAGUUUGCAGCUUAACUGUAAAAAUGCCGUUGAAACUGUCGGACUUGAGUGUAAAUGAGGUAGGCGGAAUGCGUGGUGUAGCGGUGAAAUGCAUAGAUAUCACGCAGAACUCCGAUUGCGAAGGCAGCUUACUAAGCUACAACUGACACUGAAGCACGAAAGCGUGGGGAUCAAACAGGAUUAGAAACCCCUGUAGUCC
rnacentral:rRNA from 1 species